CACGUAGGGUGCGAGCGUUUGUCCGGAAUUAUUGGGCGUAAAGAGCUCGUAGGCGGUGUGUCGCGUCGGCCGUGAAAACUUGCAGCUUAACUGUGGGCGUGCGGUCGAUACGGGCAUCACUGGAGUUCGGCAGGGGAGACUGGAAUCCUGGUGUAGCGGUGAAAUGCGCAGAUAUCAGGAGGAACACCGGUGGCGAAGGCGGGUCUCUGGGCCGAUACUGACGCUGGAGGAGCGAAAGCGUGGGGAGCGAACAGG
rnacentral:rRNA from 1 species